UCACCUGACCUAGUAACCCAAUAUAGACCAAUUAGUCUAUGGAACAUUUUAUAUAAGAUCAUUUCCAAAAUGUUAGGUUCAAGGUUGAAAUGUAUCCUGCCUGAAAUAAUAUCUCCUACUCAGAGGGCUUUUGUCCUAGGAAGGCUGAUCAUAGGUAAUGUACUCAUUGCUUAUGAAUGUGUGAACAAAGUAAAAUCAUCUCCAAAAUGUUAG
rnacentral:rRNA from 1 species